rnacentral:piRNA from 1 species
UCAGAUGGUCUGCUCUCCAGAUGGA